UAGGGAAUAUUGGGCAAUGGACGCAAGUCUGACCCAGCCAUCCCGCGUGCAGGAUGAAGGCCCUCUGGGUCGUAAACUGCUUUUGUUGGGGAAGAAAAAAGGAUACGUGUAUCCUAUUGCCGGUACCCAACGAAUAAGCACCGGCUAACUCCGUGCCAGCAGCCGCGGUAAUACGGAGGGUGCAAGCGUUAUCCGGAUUCACUGGGUUUAAAGGGUGCGUAGGCGGUUUGAUAAGUCAGUGGUGAAAGCUCGCAGCUUAACUGUGAAACUGCCAUUGAAACUGUCUAACUUGAGUACAAGGGAAGUAGGCGGAAUACAUCAUGUAGCGGUGAAAUGCUUAGAUAUGAUGUAGAACACCGAUUGCGAAGGCAGCUUACUACCUUGUCACUGACGCUGAGGCACGAAAGCAUGGGGAGCAAACAGG
rnacentral:rRNA from 1 species